GCAGAUAUUAAAACUAAUUUUGUAUAUGUGUUAUAUUUUAUAAUAAUUGUAUUUUAGAAUAAUUGUAUUUUAGAAUUAUUUUGUAUAUGUGUUGUAUUUUUGCAUUUGUAUAUAUUUGUAUAGGUGUGUUAAAGUGCUUCAACUAAAAUUCACUGGGGUGUUCAAAAGCUUGCCGAUACAGCAUUUCAAGAGGUUUUAGAAAAAAUCUUGAUGAAAUACUGGAGAAACUUCAAAUAUACCAAAGAAAAAGUUGUUGAACUCCAAAAGCAUAUCAACAAUGACUUUUAUUUUUUUCAAUUUAACAGGGAUUUAAGCAACAGUUAUUCUUCAUGUUUAGAAGAAUACAACAUUAAAGUAAGAAACUUCAAAAUUCAAAAUGAACUAAGAAGUUAAAGUACAGUAUUGCUAACCAGAUGUUCAAUUCCUCCUAACCGUGUAUUUUUCUAAAGGUGACUGUUUUUGCUCAGGUACAGGAAAAAUAACCAUGACAACAAAGUCACUGUCCAGGGUUACUGCAAGUUUACAUAAUCUGGCAACACCAGAAGGCCAGUCCCAGUUCAUCCUCUCAGGAAUUCACUCUCUGCUGUUCAAUGAGUUUCUUUUCCAUCCUUUAUCCUCCUCUUCUUAAAGAAAUACAGAUGUGGUAUUUGAUGGAGAAUAAAGUCAUAACUACGGUCGGAUCUUCUGGCAGAAAUGAAGAGGGUGACUGCUGCUGCAGUGAUGCGUUUCAACUUUUUUCAGUUCUUCCUUCCACACCUUUUUCCAGAGAGUCAGGCUCAGCACCAACCAGUGAUCUUUGGUCCUGAUGAGCCUUUUUAACUGCCAAGAGUGAUGGGUACUCAAGCGCCCAGCUGACAGAAUACUGACCACCAAAGACUCACAAAUCUUUUGCAGAGUAUUUUUGCGAACAUGAAAUGAUGCCAGAAAGUCCACUCUGUUCCAGAGUUCAUGUUCUCUAGCCUGUUGUCAAGGCUCAUCUUUAAGAGUUUUUCCACUCUUUACCAUAUAAUAGAGAAGGACAGAAGUUCACCUUCCAAAAAUCCAAAACCUACUUCCUUUUGGAUUUUUUGGCAUAAAUUUAGAGCGUUUGCAACAAGAGCUUCCAUUCAUUUUGCAAAUACCAAACUGAACAAAAUCAAACUUAAAACCUUGGUUCCCAUUAAAAAAAUAAAAAAAUACUUCACUAAGAACCUGAUUUUUCCUUCCUCCUUAAAAAGAGAAGAGGAAGCUGGAUUCACACUGUACUUAAGUUAGAAUGUAUCAUUCUACAAGCAACUGAGAAUACCAUUCAGGUGACCACACAUCAAAUGAAGCAUCUCGCUUGCUGUAGAAAACAUUGAUUGCACUCGGUCGAGGGAAACUCUGAAGGAGCUCUGGGAAACAUCAGGUAAGAAGUGUCUGAGUAGCACAUUAACUUCUCUCGUGUUUUUGGCCCGAGUUUCUGGACUUGCAGGAUUUGCAUCUCCGCAUCCCAUAGUGACAUGCAAAUCAUGCAGUGAAUGACCACAGGAGCAGAAGGAAACCCCCCGUAACUGAAAGGAGCCUUUUCUCUGAACUGAGAGGUUGAGCACAGAGGAAAAGAUCCAGAAGAACAAUCAAGAGUCAGAGAGAGUGAAAUAUUUUGCUAUUCAAAAGAAGGAUCAUGAGUCUGAGUGACCUCCAUCAUUAGCAGCUUCAGCUCCCGAGUCUUUCUGAGCAGCCUCCAUUUCUUUGGCACACCCCUUGUGUUAGUUCUGUGUGAAGAAGCCACACACUUUAGAAGUUUUCUGUUUAUCCAGCCGCGCUCUGGAGUGUAUUUAAAGCCACACAAACUUAAAAAAGACCCUGCCUUUUUUGAUCCUUUAACAAAAUGGUCAAAAACUCACCAAACGACGGCUCCACACUCGAACCGACUUGUUUUUUUACGUUGACCAUGCCGUCCUCCGCUGCUCCUGAAGUGUGCUGUUUAAAUCCACGUUUCGGCUUCCUAACCAUUAGGUCUAAAUGUGGGAGUUGUGCGCCGCGUGCUGUAGUGUGAGAAUGGUGUUGUUGGUGCAAGGUAAGGCCGCUGUUGCUGCUGUUAUCUUAUUGAUUUUCCUAAUCUGGGCAAAUGUGGGUGGGGAGGUUAAACAGUAACCAGGCUCAUAUGGACACCAAUCUAUAUAGCAGCUGUAACCAUGGCAACAGGAUGAUAGAAACUCAAAUAGACAUAAAGUUGUAAUGGUUGUAAUUUUUCUUCUUUUUCCCUGUUCCAUCACCAAAAAUGAAUUUUGCAGAUGCAGACGAAGAAAGAGGAGUUUAUCCAAACGAAGAGGGAGGGUGACACAUGGAUGAGGAGUGGAGAAUGUACUGAAGGAGCCUCCAUAGCUGGACGGACAGACAGAACAAGGUUUCCCAGUCUUGUAAGGAGCUUCUCCCACCCAGUUUCCCCUGAAAAACAAAGGAGAGCAGAAAUCAUUAGAGUUUAAAAUGGUUUGAAUUUGCAGCAGCGUUCUGGACAACCUGAAGCUAUUCUAAAGAAAACCUGACUAUAUCGAUCUGAUCCUACUCUUGACAGUUUUUCCAAAAACAUGCAUGUUUGAGCAUUUCCUGACAGCACAUCCCACUCUGCUGCUGCUCGCCCAGACCAUCUGAGAAAGCAGAAACCAUAAAGUCAUCAUUACACCACUGCUCGAUUCAUUCAGGA